rnacentral:rRNA from 1 species
AGUGAACGCUGGCGGCGUGCUUAACACAUGCAAGUCGAACGCGAAAGGGGAGCAAUCCCCGAGUAGAGUGGCGAACGGGUGAGUAAUGUGUGGGUAAUUUGCCUUUCAGCGGGGGAUAACUCGGGGAAACCUGAGCUAAUACCCCAUAAUGUUGCUUGAUCUUCGGGUCGAGUAAUCAAACGAUGGCCUCUGCUUGCAAGCCUAUCGCUGAAAGAUGAGCCCACANCCUAUCACGCUUGUUGGUGGGGUAAUGGCCUACCGAGGCGACGACGGGUAGCCGGCCUGAGAGGGUGUACGGCCACACUGGAACUGAGACACGGUCCAGACUCCUACGGGAGGCAGCAGUGGGGAAUUUUUCGCAAUGGGCGAAAGCCUUGACGAAGCAACGCCGCGUGUAGGAUGAA